GCGAAAUAGAAUGGGGUUGAUGUGCUGUUUCGGUGGAGGCCAUAGCGAAGAGAAGAAAGAACAAGAGAGGUUAGCCUCGGCGGAAGUUGCUGCCAAAGCUGCUGAAGCUGCCCAACGAAGGCAAGAGGAAUUCGAAAAGUCUGCAGCUGGUAGAGCUGCACGUGCACAGCAACAGGCGAUUGCAAAGCAAGCUGCCAACUCCAACAAAGGCGAACCAGUGUUAAAGUGGUCAAUGGGAUGAGGCUGAACCUUUUGUCUCUCCAACAACUAGCAUUUUUUUUGUAUUAUAGAGAUUCAACUUUAUUCUGUGGAUUGCCAAUUUCUCCUUUACCAGCUCCAAAGAUUCCAUAUCUCCAUAGCUCAACCCUCAAUGUAAUUUACUUGUUUAUGGAAUGUUGAGGAACACAAUAAGAAUCACAAAAGCUGUUUCAGUGUCUUGGUUUGGCCAUAUAAUGUGUUAUGUGCAACAAAUUUGUUGUGUAAUUUUAGAAAUCUUUAUAGUUACUCUACCCUAGCGAUUUGGAAUUG